GAAGCAGCCAUCAUUUAAAGAAAGCGUAAUAGCUCACUGGUCGAGUCGGCCUGCGCGGAAGAUGUAACGGGGCUAAACCAUGCACCGAAGCUGCGGCAGCGACGCUCAGGCGUUGUUGGGUAGGGGAGCGUUCUGUAAGCCGUUGAAGGUGGCCUGUGAGGGUUGCUGGAGGUAUCAGAAGUGCGAAUGCUGACAUAAGUAACGAUAAAGCGGGUGAAAAGCCCGCUCGCCGGAAGACCAAGGGUUCCUGUCCAACGUUAAUCGGGGCAGGGUGAGUCGACCCCUAAGGCGAGGCCGAAAGGCGUAGUCGAUGGGAAACAGGUUAAUAUUCCUGUACUCGGUGUUACUGCGAAGGGGGGACGGAGAAGGCUAGGCUAGCCGGGCGACGGUUGUCCCGGUUUAAGCGUGUAGGGGGAGUGACCCGGUAAAUCCGGUUGCUUAUCAACCCUGAGGCGUGAUGACGAUGCACCACGGUGCAGAAGUAGUUGAUGCCAAGCUUCCAGGAAAAGCCUCUAAGCAUCAGGUAACACAGAAUCGUACCCCAAACCGACACAGGUGGUCAGGUAGAGAAUACCAAGGCGCUUGAGAGAACUCGGGUGAAGGAACUAGGCAAAAUGGUGCCGUAACUUCGGGAGAAGGCACGCUGGCGCGUAGGUGAAGUCCCUUGCGGAUGGAGCUGAAGCCAGUCGCAGAUACCAGCUGGCUGCAACUGUUUAAUAAAAACACAGCACUGUGCAAACACGAAAGUGGACGUAUACGGUGUGACGCCUGCCCGGUGCUGGAAGGUUAAUUGAUGGGGUCAGCCGCAAGGCGAAGCUCUUGAUCGAAGCCCCAGUAAACGGCGGCCGUAACUAUAACGGUCCUAAGGUAGCGAAAUUCCUUGUCGGGUAAGUUCCGACCUGCACGAAUGGCGUAAUGAUGGCCAGGCUGUCUCCACCCGAGACUCAGUGAAAUUGAACUCGCUGUGAAGAUGCAGUGUACCCGCGGCAAGACGGAAAGACCCCGUGAACCUUUACUAUAGCUUGACACUGAACAUUGAGCCUUGAUGUGUAGGAUAGGUGGGAGGCUUUGAAGCGUGGACGCCAGUCUGCGUGGAGCCAACCUUGAAAUACCACCCUUUAAUGUUUGAUGUUCUAACUCGGCCCCGUAAUCCGGGGUGAGGACAGUGUCUGGUGGGUAGUUUGACUGGGGCGGUCUCCUCCCAAAGAGUAACGGAGGAGCACGAAGGUUAGCUAAUCACGGUCGGACAUCGUGAGGUUAGUGCAAAGGCAUAAGCUAGCUUGACUGCGAGAGUGACGGCUCGAGCAGGUACGAAAGUAGGUCUUAGUGAUCCGGUGGUUCUGAAUGGAAGGGCCAUCGCUCAACGGAUAAAAGGUACUCCGGGGAUAACAGGCUGAUACCGCCCAAGAGUUCAUAUCGACGGCGGUGUUUGGCACCUCGAUGUCGGCUCAUCACAUCCUGGGGCUGAAGUAGGUCCCAAGGGUAUGGCUGUUCGCCAUUUAAAGUGGUACGCGAGCUGGGUUUAGAACGUCGUGAGACAGUUCGGUCCCUAUCUGCCGUGGGCGUUGGAAGAUUGAGAGGGGUUGCUCCUAGUACGAGAGGACCGGAGUGAACGCACCACUGGUGUUCGGGUUGUCAUGCCAAUGGCACUGCCCGGUAGCUAAGUGCGGAAAAGAUAAGCGCUGAAAGCAUCUAAGCGCGAAACUUGCCUCGAGAUGAGUCUUCCCUGGGCCUUUAAGGCCCCUGAAGGAACGUUUAAGACUAAGACGUUGAUAGGCUGGGUGUGUAAGUGCAGCGAUGCAUUGAGCUAACCAGUACUAAUGAUCCGUGAGGCUUAACCUU
rnacentral:rRNA from 1 species